GACGAACGCUGGCGGCAGGCUUAACACAUGCAAGUCGAACGCGUCCUUUGGGGUGAGUGGCAGACGGGUGAGUAACGCGUGGGAACGUGCCCUUCAGUUCGGGAUAACCCAGGGAAACUUGGGCUAAUACCGGAUACGUGCGAGAGCAGAAAGAUUUAUCGCUGAAGGAUCGGCCCGCGUCUGAUUAGCUAGUUGGUGGGGUAAUGGCCCACCAAGGCGACGAUCAGUAGCUGGUCUGAGAGGAUGAUCAGCCACAUUGGGACUGAGACACGGCCCAAACUCCUACGGGAGGCAGCAGUGGGGAAUAUUGGACAAUGGGCGCAAGCCUGAUCCAGCCAUGCCGCGUGAGUGAUGAAGGCCUUAGGGUUGUAAAGCUCUUUCGUCCGGGACGAUAAUGACGGUACCGGAAGAAGAAGCCCCGGCUAACUUCGUGCCAGCAGCCGCAGUAA
rnacentral:rRNA from 1 species